rnacentral:tRNA from 2 species
GGUCCCAUCGUCUAGCGGUCUAGGAUACCGGCCUCUCACGCCGGAGACACGGGUUCGAUUCCCGUUGGGACUACCA